UCGUAUGCUGUGCCGUCGAUGGCGGUAAUACAGAGGUCUCAAGCGGUGUUUGGAGUCAGUGGGAGGAAAGGGUGCGGAGGCGGCGUGGUAAGUCGGGAGUGAAAACUCUGGGUUUAACGCGGAAACUGCAUUCGAUACGGCCGUGCGUGAGGGCUGGAGAGGAGACUGGAAUUUACGGUGUAGCGGUGAAAUGCGUAGAUAUCGUAAGGAAGACCAGUGGCGAAGGCGGGUCUCUGGACAGUUCCUGACGCUGAGGCACGAAGGUCAGGGGAGCAAACGGGAUUAGAUACCCGAGUAGUC
rnacentral:rRNA from 1 species